UUCCUGCUGCUCUAGCAAACAGUGGAUCAGGAGAGCAUUUCCAGGUGACCAGAAAGGGACCACAGGCAUGAGAGAAGGAAGGAGGCAGGUCGCUGUGGUGAAAUUAUGGAAAUAUAUGAACAGAUUUGGAGAAAUAUAGCAUUACAUCACUAGCUCACCAUUGGAUCCUCUACAGUGAAUGGGUGCCGUCAGAUUGAGAACGGCUGAUAAAAACAUCCCAAUAAUCCACACAACUCUAGGCCAUCAAUUAACAUCAGAUGAAGAAACAAACUGAUCAACAUCAUGGAUGGCCUGAAGGUGAUCAGUGCUAGAUUUGUUGGACAGGGCUGAAGAUCAAUUGGUCACAGAUACCCCCAUCUUCCCUCAGUGCAGAGCGUGGGAAAGUCUGAUUAGCUGAGUGAGCUUGUGCUACAAUGCCGUCUUUCCAGUUUGAAAAAUGCGUGCAGAUAAACAGAUGAAAUGUGUAUAGCCUACAAUUAAGAAUCAUUCUGUCAAUUGAAUUAUUAACAUGAAUAGUGUGUAUUUAUAUUGUUUGUGAUCAGCACUGGCCAGUGGUGUGUCUGUUUGUGCCCCAGCAGUCUAUACAGAAACUGAAGAACACCACACUCUCUUUUCCCCAUCAUUUUUUCUUUUAU
ensembl:lncRNA